rnacentral:rRNA from 1 species
ACGCUCGACACCUACGGGGCAGCAGUGGGGAAUAUUGCACAAUGGGGGAAACCCUGAUGCAGCAACGCCGCGUGAAGGAAGACGGUUUUCGGAUUGUAAACUUCUGUUCUUAGUGAAGAUAGUGACGGUAGCUAAGGAGCAAGCCACGGCUAACUACGUGCCAGCAGCCGCGGUAAUCUGAGCGGGCUGGCAAGGC